CGAAGGGCUAGCGUUGCUCGGAAUGACUGGGCGUAAAGGGCGCGUAGGCGGAUGUUUAGUCAGGCGUGAAAUUCCCGGGCUUAACCUGGGGCUGCGUUUGAUACGGGGCAUCUGGAGUGGGGAAGAGGGUCGUGGAAUUCCCAGUGUAGAGGUGAAAUUCGUAGAUAUUGGGAAGAACACCGGUGGCGAAGGCGGCGACCUGGUCCUUGACUGACGCUAAGGCGCGAAAGCGUGGGGAGCAAACAGGAUU
rnacentral:rRNA from 1 species